CGCUAUCACUCCUACGGGAGGUCAGCAGUGGGGAAUAUUGCACAAUGGGGGAAACCCUGAUGCAGCCAUGCCGCGUGUGUGAAGAAGGCCUUCGGGUUGUAAAGCACUUUCAGUAGGGAGGAAGGUAGUGUAGUUAACACCUGCAUUAUUUGACGUUAGCUGCAGAAGAAGCACCGGCUAACUCCGUGCCAGCAGCCGCGGUAAUACGGAGGGUGCGAGCGUUAAUCGGAAUUACUGGGCGUAAAGCGCAUGCAGGCGGCCUGUUAAGUCAGAUGUGAAAGCCCGGGGCUUAACCUCGGAAUUGCAUUUGAAACUGGCAGGCUAGAGUCUUGUAGAGGGGGUAGAAUUUCAGGUGUAGCGGUGAAAUGCGUAGAGAUCUGAAGGAAUACCAGUGGCGAAGGCGGCCCCCUGGACAAAGACUGACGCUCAGAUGCGAAAGCGUGGGGAGCAAACAGGAUUAGAUACCCUGGUAG
rnacentral:rRNA from 1 species